UUUUGAUAGUAAUUUGAGCAAUGGUAGACAAAUUAUCAAUCUUAUACUUGACAAACUACUCAGUAAUGGAAAAUUUAUGUCAAUAUUUAAGAAGCAACUUCAACUUCCUUCACAUCGGAGAAAAAGUUUUUCAAAAAUACAGAUUUCAUCAGAUACAUCAAGAAGUAUGUAAAAAGAAGUAUAAAAAAAGAAAUAGGUUAGGUAUCAGUUAAAAAAUCCAAACAUAUACUUACAAUUAAACAAAAGAAGAAUGACUUUUGAGAAUAAGAAUUCUAAGAAUUGUAAAAGAAAUUAUUUCAUCGCAAGAAAAUAUAUUUUUAUUUUCAUAAUUGCAAUCAAAUAAUGAAUAUAUUAUAUAUAUCGAUUUCAAAUUCAUUAUUCUUGAAUGAAACAUACCGAUCUGCUGACAGUUGUGCAACUAGAUUGCAUAAAAUUCAACGAUAUCGUGAAACAUGAUAUAUAAAAUGAAAGAAACUGUAUAUCAAUCGUAUAUUUUAUUUUGAAUUCCAUCAGUUAGAAGAGAUAUCUGAAUUAAAUUAUUUUUCAGGCAUAUCCAGAUCUGAUAAUAGGAAGAAAAUCAAGAUCUUGAACUACCAUUGAAAAUAACAGAUUAUAAACGAAAUUUCACUUUUGUUGUUCAACCGAGCGAAUAUGUAAUUUCCGUUUUUUUCCGUUAGUCCUCAAACGAGAACGAACUUAUAUCUUAUAAGUUUAUAUUUAUGUGGAAUGAGAAUGUGUAAAUUUAGAAAAAAAAUUGAAGAAAAUCAUGAAAUGGACAACUGAGACAUGUCAAAAAUUCACGUAUUUUCGAACAGAAAAUUCCUUUUUCCAUUCUUUCGAAACAUUGUAAUCGAUUUGUAAUUUAUACAAUUUAAUUUGUAUACAAUUCGAUAAA